rnacentral:lncRNA from 1 species
AAAGUCAGAACUCAGACUCUGACUUUUCCAAUGCCUACCUGGAGGGUCCUCUCAGAAGCCACCAUUGAACUGCGCACAACUUGGGCCUCAGAUCCACCUCUGGGCCCUUCCCUGUACAUGCUCUGUUCCAGCUGGGAUCCCUCCCACAGACCUCACUUCCUAGAGUCCCUGCAGGACACUGCUUCCAGUGUCCCCCUCACUCUCUCUCUGCCCUGGAGGCAGUUGCUUUGGCUCCUGCUUCUCUAUGACCAACCUCUGCUGUUCCACUUCUCCCAGGACCCAACAACCCUUUCUUCCAGCCAACCAGGAGUGGCAGUGUCCUGCUAUUUAUAACCUUUGCCAUUUCUCUACUUCCUUAUUGAGUUCCCUUGAUGCCCAGGUCCUGCCCAGCCCCACUGAACCACUAGUACA